rnacentral:rRNA from 1 species
GAACCAAAACUAGCCCUACUAUUAUCAAACACAACUAUUAUCAUAAAUAAACCAAAACAUUUAUUUACAAAAGUAUUGGAGAAAGAAAUUCUUCUCAGGAGCUAUAGAGAAAGUACCGCAAGGGAAAGAUGAAAGACUAAUUAAAAGUAAAAAAAAGCAAAGAUUAAACCUUGUACCUUUUGCAUAAUGAAUUAGCUAGAAAUACCUUGACUAAGAGAACUGAAGCCAAGGACCCCGAAACCAAACGAGCUACCUAAAAACAAUCUAAUGGAUCAACCCGUCUAUGUAGCAAAAUAGUGGGAUGAUUUUUAGGUAGAGGUGAAAAGCCUAACGAGCUUGGUGAUAGCUGGUUACCCAAUAACGAAUUUUAGUUCCACUUUAAGUUUACCUAUAGAAUUACAAAUCUAAAUGUAAACUUAAAUUAUAGCCUAAAGAGGGACAGCUCUUUAGACAAAGGAUACAACCUUAGAUAGUGAAUAAACAACACAAUCAUACCAUUGUUGGCCUAAAAGCAGCCACCAAUAAAGAAAGCGUUCAAGCUCAACAAUACCAACAACCAUAAAUUUCAAACCUAACAACGAAUUCCUAUCACACAUAAUUGGGUUAAUCUAUUACAAUAUAAUAGAUGCAAUAAUGCUAAUAUGAGUAACAAGAACUAAGUUCUCCCAGCACAAGUGUAUAACAGCCCGGAUGCCCACUGUUAAUUAACAUUUUAAGAUACUACACACCCAAUAAACCCAUCUAACAUUAUCAUGUUAACCCAACACAGGAGUGCAAUAAGGAAAGAUUAAAAAAAAUAAAAGGAACUCGGCAAACACGAGCUUCGCCUGUUUACCAAAAACAUCACCUCUGGCAUCACAAGUAUCAGAGGCACUGCCUGCCCAGUGACUAAAGUUAAACGGCCGCGGUAUCCUGACCGUGCAAAGGUAGCAUAAUCACUUGUUCCUUAAUUAGGGACUAGCAUGAACGGCUAAACGAAAGCUCAACUGUCUCUUAUUUUUAAUCAGUGAAAUUGACAUCCCCGUGAAGAGGCGGGGAUACUACAAUAAGACGAGAAGACCCUAUGGAGCUUUAAUUUACAUCUAAAUUUAACUAUUACCCUACCCUAAUGGACUAAAAACCUUAAAUAUUAGAUUAAAAUUUCGGUUGGGGUGACCUCGGAGCAUAAAAAACCCUCCGAACGAUAAUAACCAAGACUCACAAGUCAAAGUAACUAAAACAAUCCAAUUGACCCAAUCUUUGAUCAACGGACCAAGUUACCCUAGGGAUAACAGCGCAAUCCUAUUUAAGAGUUCAUAUCGACAAUAGGGUUUACGACCUCGAUGUUGGAUCAGGACAUCCCAAUGGUGUAGCAGCUAUUAAUGGUUCGUUUGUUCAACGAUUAAAGUCCUACGUGAUCUGAGUUCAGACCGGAGUAAUCCAGGUCGGUUUCUAUCUAUUUACAAUUUUUCCCAGUACGAAAGGACAAGAAAAAUGGGGCCCACUUUACCAAAGCGCCCUAAAACAAAUUAAUGAACACAUCUCAAUUCUAUAUUAACGUUAAACUCUAAGCCUAGACAAGGCAAA